UACGGAGGGUGCGAGCGUUAAUCGGAAUUACUGGGCGUAAAGGGUGCGUAGGUGGUUUAGUAAGUUAUCUGUGAAAUACCUGGGCUCAACCUGGGCAGGUCAGAUAAGACUGCAAGACUCGAGUAUAGGAGAGGGUAGUGGAAUUUCCGGUGUAGCGGUGAAAUGCGUAGAGAUCGGAAGGAACACCAGUGGCGAAGGCGGCUACCUGGCCAAAUACUGACACUGAGGCACGAAAGCGUGGGGAGCAAACAGG
rnacentral:rRNA from 1 species